CUAACCAACUUUUGUUCCAUCCGGACAAAAAUACCUUCUUCUUUUUUUCUCUACUUUCCCCAUUUCCUUUUCAAAACGCAGCCCAGGGUUGUUUUUUUUUUUUUUUUUUUUUUUUUUUUUUCCCCCUAAAAUUUUCACUUUCCUUUUGAAAAAUACCAACCCCAUCGCCACUUCUACCAAAAUUCUCCUAUCAAAAUUGUGUAGUAUGAUCAAGGGGCCAAUAUAGGGAGGAGAAAGAGUCUUCAACUUCAAGGGCAUGUUUGUUUUGUAGGAUUGGCCAAGCUAGGAGAGGACUCAGACCUAAUCUGGUGCUUGGUGAUGCUUUUUGUAAAUGGGACACAUUAAUCCAAGAUCCUAAAUAGCAAAGCUAGAGUAGGAUAAAUCUGACCCACCACAGCUCUUGGGUAACAGCCGGAUACAACAUAUCGAGCUUCUCUCACCAAUCGCUUCUCUCUCUCGCCGAUCUGCUCCUUUCUUGCUACGACAUCGAUCAUCUUCUUUCUCGAUCUGCUUCUUUUGACAAAGCACCCACGCCGAGCUUUGUGAUUACCCUCUCUCCUCCUCCUUCUCUCACCCUCCGAUUCGCCCACUUUAAUCCCACCUCCUUUUGGGUUCGAAUUUUUUUUUUUUUUUUUCCCCCUAAAUAUCAGGUUGCCUUUUUAGACGAUCUUUCAGACUACCUAUCAUUUUUCGGUUCAGGGACUCCGAUUUUAUGUACACACAAUAAUUGUGUAUUACUAUAAUUAACGCACAGUGUGGAUGCUACGAAGAAGGCUCUGAUUUGUAGCUACAAGAACUCUGUUAAUGGGUGUUAAUGGGUUUUCUGCAACACUCACUCCACAGUAGGUUUUAGAGAUUUCAAGUCAGGGGCAUUCUUCAUUUUACUUUCUUUUUUAUUAUUAGAUUAUUUAAUUUAGAGUUUUUUUGUAUUUGAUAGCUGCUUGAUUUGGUUCAUUUCCAUCCAAAUUUAUUAUCCUUAGUUUUUUAUUAUUAUUAUUUUAUAUAUUUAUUUAUUUAUUCAUUUUUGCAUCUUUAAGCCUAUUAAGUUAUUUUAAACAACACUUAGCUAUUUGUCCAAGUAAUCUCCAUUCAUUUUGUAAAAAAAAAUAAAAAUAAAAAUAAAAAAAUCUUCAAGCUCCAUUUAUAAACAUGUUUAAUGAUUUUAAUGGAUUUCAUGCAAAUAGCUCUUAGAAUUUUUUGUGCCAAUAUAGUUUAUAGUACAUAUAUGGAAAGAUAAUUGUGAUAGUGAGAAAAUAUUAGGUGCAUAAGGAUGUAGUUUUCUUUUAACUUAACAUUCAACUUGUAAAUUGAAUUGCUUUCCAAAGAGACUAUAAGUAAGAGACAAUGCUUAUACUUCUUUAAUUUUUUUUUUUUUUUUUUUUGUUUUUUCAAAUAAGUUUGUUGCAGUCCCUGGCACCUUUAAAUUGAUGUAUCAUUUUUUUGCCUAGAAAAAUAAAAUGUCUGUGUGUGCCCAUGGAAAUUCCUUAUCAGCAUCAUGAAGAUUGUGCUUGCUCUAUUUGGAUCUUUUUCAUUAGCUCAUGUAAAAUGUGCUCUGUUUAUUGCAGGUUAUGUUUAGUAGUGUCCUCCAUAAGUGGCUGCAUGCUAAAGCUGCAUUGUUUUUCCUAUAUUAGCAUUUAAAUGUAAAGAUAAUGAUGAAUUAUUUUUAUGUUCAUUUAUCAAAGAUGAUGAUGGAUUUUGAUGUAAAGAUAACUAAUUUACAGUCUACAAAAUGUGGUAUGUUUAUUAGAA